UACAGAGGUCUCAAGCGUUGUUCGGAUUCAUUGGGCGUAAAGGGUGCGUAGGUGGCGGGGUAAGUCAGGUGUGAAAUUUCGGAGCUUAACUCCGAAACUGCAUUUGAUACUGCCUUGCUUGAGGACUGGAGAGGAGACUGGAAUUCACGGUGUAGCAGUGGAAUGCGUAGAGAUCGUGAGGAAGACCAGUGGCGAAGGCGGGUCUCUGGACAGUUCCUGACACUGAGGCACGAAGGCCAGGGGAGCAAACGGG
rnacentral:rRNA from 1 species